GUCCUAGCCGUAAACGAUGCACAUUAGACGUGAGGGGUAUCGACCCCCUUCGUGUCGACGCUAACGCAUUAAAUGUGCCGCCUGGGGGAGUACGGCCGCAAGGUUGAAAACUCAAAAGGAAUUGACGGGGGCCCCGCACAAGCGGUGGAGCAUGUGGUUUAAUUCGACGCAACGCGAAGAACCUUACCUGGGCUUGAACUGUUGGAAGUAGAAUUAAUGAAAGUUGAGACGACCUGUUAAGUCAGGAACCAAUAGAGGUGCUGCAUGGCUGUCGU
rnacentral:rRNA from 1 species